GACGAACGCUGGCGGCGUGCUUAACACAUGCAAGUCGAACGGAAAGGCCCUGCUUUUGUGGGGUGCUCGAGUGGCGAACGGGUGAGUAACACGUGAGUAACCUGCCCUCGACUUUGGGAUAACUUCAGGAAACUGGGGCUAAUACCGGAUAGGAGCUCCUGCUGCAUGGUGGGGGUUGGAAAGUUUCGGCGGUUGGGGAUGGACUCGCGGCUUAUCAGCUUGUUGGUGGGGUAGUGGCUUACCAAGGCUUUGACGGGUAGCCGGCCUGAGAGGGUGACCGGCCACAAUGGGACUGAGAUACGGCCCAGACUCCUACGGGAGGCAGCAGUGGGGAAUAUUGCACAAUGGGCGGAAGCCUGAUGCAGCAACGCCGCGUGCGGGAUGACGGCCUUCGGGUUGUAAACCGCUUUCGCCUGUGACGAAGCGUGAGUGACGGUAAUGGGUAAAGAAGCACCGGCUAACUACGUG
rnacentral:rRNA from 1 species